GGGUUGUGAGGUUAAGCGACUAAGCGUACACGGUGGAUGCCCUGGCAGUCAGAGGCGAUGAAGGACGUGCUAAUCUGCGAUAAGCGUCGGUAAGGUGAUAUGAACCGUUAUAACCGGCGAUUUCCGAAUGGGGAAACCCAGUGUGAUUCGUCACACUAUCAUUAACUGAAUCCAUAGGUUAAUGAGGCGAACCGGGGGAAC
rnacentral:rRNA from 1 species